rnacentral:rRNA from 1 species
UAUGUGAUCGUCUCUCGCAUAUCAAUAAGCGGAGGAAAAGAAACUAACAAGGAUUCCCCUAGUAACGGCGAGUGAAGCGGGAAGAGCUCAAAUUUGAAAUCUUAAAGGGUUUCCCUUUACGAAUUGUAGUUUAAAGAAGUGUUUUCUGUUGAGGUUUUGGUAAAAGUUCUUUGGAAUAGGACAUCAUAGAGGGUGAGAAUCCCGUAUUUGACCUUUACUUUCAACUUUGUGAUACACUUCCAAAGAGUCGGAUUGUUUGGGAAUGCAGUCCAAAAUGGGUGGUAAAUUUCAUCUAAAGCUAAAUAUUGGCGAGAGACCGAUAGCGAACAAGUACCGUGAGGGAAAGAUGAAAAGAACUUUGAAAAGAGAGUUAAACAGUACGUGAAAUUGUCAAAAGGGAAGCGUUUGACACCAGUGUUGUUUUUCUGAAAAUCAAUUAAAGAACUGUUUAUGCUAAGCUGUUUAGACUUUAUCAGCUAUCUGUUUAGUUUUGAGCUCUUCUUUAAUGCACUUUUCAGUUAACAGGUCAACAUCAAUUUCUUUUGCUGUAAAAAAGCUUGAGGAAGGUGGCUUGAGAUUCGUCUUAAGUGUUUAUAGCCUCUUGCCUAUGCAGUCGGAGAGAUUGAGGUCUGCAGCGUAGAUCCUUCGGGGCUAAAUGCAUUUGUGCUAAGUUAUAGCAUUUUAUAGACAACUUGUUGACUAUGAUUUGUCUUGUAGCUUACUCGCUUAUGUUAUUUUACCUACGCUUAGGAUGUUGAGCGCAUGUCUCUCUCU